rnacentral:lncRNA from 1 species
GUUAUACUGCAUGGAGCUUUUCUCCCAGAAUGAUACCAAAGCAUUUCAGAAAUUGAAAAGAUGCAAAGGAGCUGGGGGAAGAAGGAGGAGGAGGAGGAAGAAAAAAAGUUUCUCUUCUUCUGGGAAAAUGAAGCAGUUUUUUCCAGCCUUAACAUGUCUUGAACUUUUGAGGAAAAACCUAUGCAAAGUGGGAUCUUGCAGCACACACGUGAUGAAUGGGAUGCCUCUCAGGAACAUAAAUCUGUGCUGGUGCAUCAUGAUGCAGAAUUGGUGUUGAUGCUAACAUGUCAUUUUCCCAAAUGCUUCAGAGUCCUUUGGGCCUGCCAUGAAGGGAGCCCAGAAAUUGACCCAACAGAACAAUUGGGAGCCUGAUUCCUUUUUUUGAACUAGAACCAUUUUAUGUCUCUGAACAAAGGAAAAAGAAAUAAGCAACAACCAACCUAUGGAGUGAGCUUUCAUAGCCUUUUAUCAGGAGGAUUUGAAAUAAUUCAAUAGAACCACAGGAAAGAGAUUGACAGAGAAGAAGAAAGUGAAAACCAUGUAAGUAACUCUUGCACCAACAAGGGAAAAUAGUAUCCAAUUUCUCUUAAAAUGUUUUUGGAAAGAAAUUGAUUGAAAACACAAGGUUUCUGAGACUUCCAGGCUUUUGAAGUCUGCAGAGGGACAUUCGUGAGUAGUAAGGCUAGAAAUGUUCAGCUGCUCUGAACUUGAUCAUUUGCUGCAGAGUUCCAGUGCCUCUCGUGAGAGUAUUGUCUGGUUUAACUCCAACUAAGACC